GAUGGAUGGACUAGAUCAGGCAGUGAAGACGGGACUCUCAGGCUACCUAGAAGGAUCAAGUUUUAGAUCUAGAGACUGGGAUACAGCUCAAUGCUUUUGAAACAUGUGUGUGUGGUAUGAUCAGACCUACCAACAAGCUGAGGACCAUUCCCAGUGUUCCGGCCGGUGCUGGAGUUUCUCCAGGCGAUCAGGGCGUGGCCUGCACAUGUCAGUCAGGAGCUUCCUUCUCUUGUUGUUGCCAGUCACUCAAUAGCCUACCCACCAUGAGCUACAGUCUGGAAGUAAGUAGUUCUUAGUAAAAAGAAGAAAAAGAAAUGGAAACACUUUGUCUUGGAAUGUCGUUAAAGAAGAAAACAGCAAACAUCUGAGGGGGUUGAAGAUAUCCUCCCCUUCCGCCUGCAAUGUUAGCCCACUGUGUUGGAGGACGGCAGCUUCGAGGUCAAGCUAAGAUAGCAAUCAGGGUUGAAGAGAGAGACUCCAUCUCUAUCAAGGACACAAGAACUUGGGAAUCUCAGCGGAUGCCAUCUAGGCGUGGCCCACACCUACUGCAGAGGAAAUCAUCCGAGAAGGGGAAUAGCCAAAAGACAGAAGGUCCCAGUGAGCAGGACCAGGCCUGAGCAUCCUGUCACCGGAGCACGACAGACAGCAGUAUCCACCAGGAGAACGGAGGGCUGAGUACAGGCGUGGCCACAUGCUCCACCUCUCUCCCUGCUUGUCUCUUGGCAUGUGUGUUUGCUGUAAAUCCAUGGGAACAGAAACAGACUUAGUUGAAUCACUACCACACAGUGAGCUCAGAGCAAAGUCUGCACAGAAGGGCUACUUCCUACAUUUUUGUUAAAUGACUGAAUUCUUGGGUGAAUGAGUGAAUGGAUUAAUUCAGUAACUGCCUGUUCAGGGUCAUCGUAGAUUUGGCGAUGGGCUUUGCUUCUACAAUAUGAAAUAAGGCACUUUUUUUUUUUCUUCACAGUGAGCUGCCAGGCGUUUGGGUAGAAUGGCAAUUGGUCCAUCCUCAUAACAAUAACAAUAGAAAGAAACAAGAUUGUAGGGAGGCACAGAGGGGGGAAUCUGUGAUGGUUGAUGUUGGUUGUCAAGUUGAGUGGUUCUGGAAUCAACUAAGAGAAUCCUCUGGGCACGCUUGUGAGGAACUUCCUUGGAGAGGUCAAACGAAGUGGAAAAACUCACCCUAAAUGUGAGCAACUCCUCUGGCGACAGGCGUUCGAGGGGAAAACCCCUUCUUCAGCCCGUUUGUUUUGUGCCUUGUUUAUUUAUGUUAUCCGCAAGUUCUGCCGCUUGUUCCUGUGACUGUUGCCUUUGCUGCUGCUACUGCUGCCUCCAACCCCACCGACAUCAGAACCUAGUUUCUUCUGCAUUCCAACCUGAACCGAAAGGCUCAGUGCAGCUUGAGACUGAGUCACGCCAUAGAGACUGAGCAGUUAACAAUUGCCCCUUUCGAGUGGGAAUACAGCCAUUGUCAGAAUACCCUGACCAUAUCAUAUAAGCCAAUCUAUUAAGUUCCCUCUUAAGACAUAUUCAUCCUAUCGGUUGUGAGCCUCCAGAGAACCCUGACUGCUGCAGGGCCUCUGAGCACUUGGUGAGGAAGAAGUGCCCUUUGAGGGUGGCAAGGGCUUAGCUGGAGAAGGCUGGGGAGCAAUGUAAGAAGCAGCAACAGUCAGUACAGUUCUUGCUGAGUAAGUCACAGAGCUUGGGCAUUGGACCGGGUGUUCGAUACUGUCACAGCAAUAUCAACGGACAAGACAUGGGGUCCUACAUAGAUGGGUCAAGAUGAGCACUGAGGAGGGACAGUGUAAAUGCACCUGGGUACCAGAAAAGGGAUUCUGGGAAAGAUGAAGCAAGGUGAACUCUGUUUUAGAAAAGCAAAACUUGGGUUUCUAGUUUGGAUCUGUUUUUUUGUUUGUUUGUUUGUUUGUUUUGUUUUGUUCUUGUUUUAAGGCUCUCUACAGUAAAGGCUUGAACCAAGCUCAGCUCUACUAGGAAGUGAUGGGACCUUUGAGGAUCCCAGCAGGGAUCCCAGCAGGGAAUCCUGAGGUCACUGGAGGUGACCUUGCCUUGAAGGAGUUUGUGGGAUCCUGGCCUCUUCCUCUUCUGCCCUUUGAUGCCUGUGGUUUUGUUCUGCCAGGCUCUCCUGGCAUUAGCGGUUGCAGCUUAGAUACAAUGCAACAGUGGACACCCAGGGAGGGACUGCUACUUCCAGAACUGUGGGUCAGUUAGCUGUUCCUUUCUGUUCGUUAUCUCAGUCAUGCUACAGUGAGAGAAAAAAAAUAACACAGUUGAUUUUCCAUUAAACAUGGAGGCCUAAUACAGACAAUGAGUUCUAAUAUUUUUCUGUUCUCACUGAAAUUUUCUUUUUGUUCUUUUUCUUUCCCUUUCCCUUCUCUCUUUUC